UGGAAGAAUCUGUAAAGCUCAGGAGGGAUAGCGCCUUUUUAAUAAUGAUUUUAUCAUAGUUGUAUAUUUGGCGCUAUCCAUCCUGAGUUUCAUGGCUUCUUCAU
rfam:Lupinus angustifolius cultivar Tanjil chromosome LG11, whole genome shotgun sequence.